rnacentral:rRNA from 1 species
GACGAACGCUGGCGGCGUGCUUAACACAUGCAAGUCGAACGGACAGGCCCUGCUCUUGUGGGGUGCUCGAGUGGCGAACGGGUGAGUAACACGUGAGUAACCCGCCCUUGACUUUGGGAUAAAUUCAGGAAACUGGGGCUCAUACCGGAUAGGAGCUCCUGCUGCAUGGUGGGGGUUGGUAAGUUUCGGCGGUUGGGGAUGGACUCGCGGCUUAUCAGCUUGGUGGUGGGGUAGUGGCUUACCAAGGUUUUGACGGGUAGCAGGCCUGAGAGGGUGACCGGCCACAUUGGGACUGAGAGACGGCCCAGACUCCUACGGGAGGCAGCAGGGGGGAAUAUUGCACAAUGGGCGGAAGCCUGAGGCAGCGACGCCGCGUGCGGGAUGACGGCCUACGGGUGGUAAACCGCUGUCGCCUGAGACGAAGCGUGAGUGACGGUAAUGAGUAAAGAAGCACCGGCUAACUACGUG